rnacentral:rRNA from 1 species
AUUGAACGCUGGCGGCAUGCCUUACACAUGCAAGUCGAACGGCAGCACGGGAGCUUGCUCCUGGUGGCGAGUGGCGAACGGGUGAGUAAUACAUCGGAACGUACCCUGAAGUGGGGGAUAACGUAGCGAAAGUUACGCUAAUACCGCAUAUUCUGUGAGCAGGAAGGAGGGGGAUCGCAAGACCUCUUGCUUUAGGAGCGGCCGAUGUCGGAUUAGCUAGUUGGUGAGGUAAAGGCUCACCAAGGCGACGAUCCGUAGCGGGUCUGAGAGGAUGAUCCGCCACACUGGGACUGAGACACGGCCCAGACUCCUACGGGAGGCAGCAGUGGGGAAUUUUGGACAAUGGGCGCAAGCCUGAUCCAGCCAUGCCGCGUGAGUGAAGAAGGCC